AGCUCCAAUAGCGUAUAUUAAAGUUGUUGCAGUUAAAAAGCUCGUAGUUGGAUUUCUGUUUCGGACGUCCGGUCUGUUUAUUCAUUUAAACGUGUACUAUGGAUGUUUGGAUCAUAUUUUGCGAGAGCCUGCUACUGUCAUUAAGUUGUCUGGUAGUCUGGACUUGCAUCGUUUACUGUGAAAAAAUUAGAGUGUUUAAAGCAGGCGUUCGCUUUUGAAUACAUUAGCAUGGAAUAAUAAGAUACGACUUUGGUGGUCUAUUUUGUUGGUUUGCACACCAGAGUAAUGAUUAAUAGGGACAGUUGGGGGUAUUCAUAUUUGAGCGUCAGAGGUGAAAUUCUUGGAUCGCUGAAAGAUGAGCUUAGGCGAAAGCAUUUACCAUGGAUGUUUUCA
rnacentral:rRNA from 1 species